CGAUCUGCUGCGGACUGAUAAAAUGGAUAUGGGUAUCAAUACCACCUGCUGUGACGAUCAUUCCUUCUCCUGCCAGCGCCUCUGUGGAUGCACCAACGGUCAUUCCAGGUGUCACCCCGUCCAUGAUAUCCGGGUUUCCUGCUUUUCCGAUCCCUGCGAUCUUUCCGUCUUUGAUUCCGAUAUCUGCCUUGAUGAUCCCAGUGGUAUCCACGAUCAGGGCGUUGGUGAUCACCAGAUCCAGAUCUCCAUCACGGCUGCAUGUUUUUACUGACUGGCCCAUUCCGUCACG
rnacentral:sRNA from 1 species